GAAAAAUAAUGAGUGAAAGGAUUUCCAAAAGGAUAGAACAAGUCUCAUGGAAUCCUUACGAACAAGAACAGUUGAUCAAGCGCAGGAGAAAUUUUGUGAUCAGGAUGUUUCAGGGCAUAAUGAGAGGUCUUGUGUAUAUGCAUGACCGUAACAGAUUACACCAAAGUCUUGGACCAUCUUCUGUAGUACUCAAUACAAUUGUUGAGAAAGAU
rnacentral:misc_RNA from 1 species